GUUUUUGGCUGGGGCUGGUGUUGCGUGACCGGAGACGCGAAAGAACAGCAGCUUUGCCGUGGGUAUAAGUUCACUCCUGUAAUUAUUAAAGAGAUAACAGUCUUGCUGUAUUGCCCAGACUGAUCUCAAACUACUGACCUCAAGCAAUCCUCCUGCCUCAACCUCCCAAGUCACUGGAAUUACAGUUGGAAUCGUUUUACAAGUCUCAAGAUGCCUCAAAUUGCUGACCUUUUAGAGACAGAUGACAGCAUAGAAGCAAGUGCAAUAGUGAUACAACCCCCUGAGAAUGCUAUAGCACCUGUUUCUGAUGAGGACUCAGGAGAUGAAGAAGUGAGAACAAUAAAUAAUCCGCCAUGCUCUUUGCUGCACGCACCUGCAUAUCUUAUUCAAGAAGGCUGUGAUGCUGAGUCUGACUCAGAUGAUCCUCAUACGCACCUGGAGAUGACGCUCUUAAUGAUGAAGUUCUAUCUGUGUCUACUGUGCAGCAACCUCCUCCAUCAAAGAAAAAGAAAGUGACAGAAAUUGUUCUCAGAUGGAAAAAAGCUGACUUAACUGCACAGCUCACAGCAGGUAGAGUUACAGAACCACCAAAUGACUUCUUCACCAAAAUGAGAACUCCCACAAAAAUUCAUGAACUAUUUCUUGAUGAUGAGGUGGUUGAACUCAUUGUCAUGUACUCCAAUUUAUAUGCUGGAGGUAAGGGUGUAAAUCUUGGCUUGUCUGGCUCUGAACUCAAAUGUUUUCUGGGAAUUAUUUUUCUGAGUGGUUACAUCUCAGUUCCUAGAAUGUGUAUAUGUUCUGGGAACAAAGAACCGAUGUGCAUAGUGGACUCAUUAGUGCUGCCAUGAGACGUGACCACUUUGAAAUUAUAUUUUCUAAUUUGCAUGUUGCUGACAAUGCAAAUUUGGAUCCAAUAGACAAGUUUUCCAAGUUGUGACCUCUUUUAAACAUACUCAAUGAGAGAUUUAUGAAAUUUGUUCCAAAUGAAACAUUUCAGCUUUGAUGAAUGUAUGGUUCCUUAUUUUGGUCGUUAUGGGUGUACACAAUUUAUCAGAGGAAAGCCCAUUCAUUUUGGCUAUAGGUUUUGGAGUGGUGCAGCAUGUCUGGGAUAAAUUAGCUGGUUUCAGCCGUGUCAGGGUAAAAUCCCAAGUAGUAAACAUGAGGAAUGUGGUGUCAUUGCAUCACUUGUCCUUCAGUUUAGUGAGGCACUUUCAAAGGCACAUCCUGGACGACACCAUUUUGUAUUCGUUAACUUUUUCAUCAGUAUUGCACUUCCUGAUAAGCUCAGUUCAAUGGGACAUCAGGCAACAGGUAUAGCAAGAAAGGAUCGCAUUGACAAAGCUCCACUGGAAUCAGAUGUAUCUCUGAAGAAAAAGGAACAAGGCACAAUUAUCGAGUUGAUGGCAAAGGCAAUAUUGUCUGCAGAUGGAAUGGUAACAGUGUUGUCACUGUUGCCUCAUCUGGUGCUGGUAUUGAUGCCCUGUGCCUUGUUGACCAUUAUUCCCAGAAACUGAAAAAGAAGAUCCAAGUUCAACAGUCAAACAUGAUCAAAGUGUCUAACUGUUUCAUGGGAGGUGUAGACAGAGCUGAUGACAACAUUGAUAAGUAUCAAGCAUCAAUCCGUGCAAAGAAAUGAUAUUCAAGUCCUCUUUUGUUCUGUUUCAAAUUGAUCUUACAAAAUGCUUGGCAACUGCAUAAAACAUAUGAUGAGAAGCCAAUGUAUUUUCUGGAGUUUCGUCAACGUGUGGUAUGCCAUUAUUUGGAGACCCAUGGUCUUCUUCCAGACCCUGGCUGGAGAGGAAGACCUUCUCAGAAGCGUAACAUUGACUCACAUUUUGAUGGCAUGAAUCAUGUGAUAGUCAAACAGGGAAAGCAAACUCGAUGUGCAGAAUGUCCUAAGAACACCACUUUCUGAUGUGAAAAGUGUGAUGUUGCCUUACAUGUGAAGUGUUCUGUUGAAUAUCACACUGAAUAGUAGGUGUCACCACCUCCUGAGAUAAGAAACAUGAUUUUAUACAUUAUGUACACUUUAGCAAGUGUUUUGCCUAGUGUUCCCUUUUUGGAAUAUCACGUAACAAUGGAGUAUAAUAAAACUUUUUUCUCCAAAUUCUUGUUCUUUGAAUUUUUAUAGGUAACAUAUAUGAAUUUCAUGCAAAAAAUUAAAAAAUUUCAAUCUCAAGCAUAAAUAGGGAACAAAGGGACAUCUAAGAAUUUAAAGAACAUUGUCCCUCAGCACCCUUAGAAAAGGCUCAAGGACUUUAUCUUGAAGACAUUUGUGGGUGCAGCUUCUGUCUAGUUGUGUGGAUUAUAAGUUGAUUCACAUGACAUCCACACAGUUUUUUAAUUUUAAAUAGACUGUUUUUUAAGAGCAGUUUAGGUCUACAGCAAAAUUGAAAGUAGAGUUCCUAUGGAUCCUGUCCACCUUUCCCUACAAAGCCAGCCCAGUGUCAGCAUCCCUCACUACAGUGGUACCUACAGUGGUACCUUUUUUUAUUUUUUUAUUUUUUACAACCAGUGAACCUACACUGAUACAUCAUUAUCACCCUAAGUCUAUAGAUUACAUUAGGGUUAUGUUUGGUUUUGUAUAUUGGUAUGCAUUUUGACAAAUGUGUAAUGAUUCCAACAUUGUAGUAUCAUAUUUCACUGCCCUAAAAAUCCUCCGUGCUUUACCUGUUCAUUUUUCCCUUCCCCUAUUCCUUAACCACUAUGAAUCUUUCUACUGUCCCCAUAGUUUUUCAUUUUCCAGAUGUCAUAUAGUUGGAGUCAUGAAUUUUUAGGUUGGCUUUCACUUAGUGAUGUGCCUUUAAGUUUCCUUCAUGUCUUUUCAUUGCUUAAUAGCUCAUUCCUUUUUAAGUGCUGAAUAGAAUUUCGUUGUCUGGAUGUACUAGAGUUUAUCUGUUGCCCCCUGAAGGAUAUCUUGGUUGUUUCCAAGGUUUGGCAGUUAUAAACAAAGCUGCUAUAAACAUCUACAUGCAGGUUUUUGUGUGGACAUGUUUUCAACUCAUUUGGGUAAAUAUCAAGGAGUGUGAUUGCUGGGUCAUAUAAGAGUGUGUUUCAUUGUAGAAGAAACUACCAAACUGGGUCAUAUAAGAGUGUGUUUCAAACUACCAAACUGUCUUCCACAGUGGCUAUACCAUUUUUCAUCCUCACUAUCAGUGAAUGAGAGUUCUGUUUUUCCAAACCUUGGCCAUCAGUUGGUUGACAGUGUUUUGGAUUUUCACCAUUCUAAUAGGUGUGUAGUGAUGUCUCAUUACUGUUUUAAUUUGCAAUUCCCUAAUGACGUGACAUGGAACAUAAUUUUGUAUGCUAAUUUGCCACCUGUGUAGUCUUCUAUAGUGAGGUGUGUAUUUAGGUCUUUUGCCUGCCUUUAAAUUAGGGAGUUCAUUUUCUUAUUGUUUAGUUUUAAGAAUUCUUUGUACACUUCAGGUAAUGGUGCUUUAUCAGAUGUGUCUUUUAAAAGUAUUUUCUCCCAGUCUGUGGCUUGUCUUCUCACUCUCUCUCUUAAAAGGAUUGUAUCAUCUUGGACUAAGAAGCACAAACAGUGACACAAAAAGAACCCCUUUGACCCUAAGCUUCUGCAGACAAGAAGUAUGCUCACAACAUGGCUACAUUUAGUGAAAAAGAAGAGUGAUUCAGAAGAUGGAACCAACAGCCUGGAGUGGAGAGUCAUGAGCCUACAGUGAAUCAUUCCCAAGGAGUACAACUGAGCCCUAAUCAAGGAACUAGCACCAGAUGUCCAGUCUUUGUCCUGGGCUGGGUUUGAACCCACCUCCUUCGGUAUAUUGGGCUGGCACCCCACUCCUUUGAGCCACAGACGCCACCCUUAAAUUAAGUUUUGGUAAUGAAGUUAUGCUGGCUUCACGAAAUGAAUUGGGAAACAUUUCAUCUUUUUAUGUGAGCUAUUCAUAAUAGCCAAGAUACGGAAUCAACCUUAAAGGUUCAUCAGCAGAUGAAUGGGUAAAGAUGAAUGGAUAAAGAAAUUGUGGUACAUACACAAUGGGAAAGCUGAAGCUAGAAAGGAAGAAUGAAAUCAUGCUAUUUCCAACAUCAUGGAUGGAACUGGAGAACAUUGUGUUGAAUGAAAUA